rnacentral:rRNA from 1 species
UACGGGGGGAGCAAGCGUUGUUCGGAUUUACUGGGCGUAAAGGGCGCGUAGGCGGCGUGACAAGUCACUUGUGAAAUCUCCGGGCUUAACUCGGAACGGUCAAGUGAUACUGUCGUGCUAGAGUACAGAAGGGGCAACUGGAAUUCUCGGUGUAGCGGUGAAAUGCGUAGAUAUCGGGAGGAACACCAAUGGCGAAGGCAGCUCGCUGGGACGUUACUGACGCUGAGGCGCGAAAGCCAGGGGAGCGGAACGGG